UCUGGAGCUACAGGUUCACAACAACAACAAAAAUCUCUCAUCAUUUACUCAAUCUCACGUCAAUCCAAACCUGUAGUACAGAGGGACUCACGUGUGUAGACAGACAGGUUAAUGUAGCAGUGCUGGGUUCCCAGUGGGUUGGUCACUGAGCAGCGGUAGAGGCCAGAGGCCUGUGCAGACAUAUUGGCAAUGUGCACAGAGCCCUUUAAAUCACCUGAGACAGAUACAGCUUUUCCCAGAUCACCUGUGGAGUAGGAAAGCCCUCCGCCACCAGACAGGACAGUUGCACAUUGCCUCCAGCUUCGGUGUCCCCUUCCCACAGACACACAGGAAGGGACGGAGGUGCUGCACACACAGAGAG